UACGAAGGGGGCUAGCGUUGUUCGGAAUCACUGGGCGUAAAGCGCGCGUCGGCGGCUUUCCAAGUCAGAGGUGAAAUCCCGGGGCUUAACCCCGGAACUGCCUUUGAAACUGGGAGGCUGGAGACUCGGAGAGGAUAGUGGAAUUCCAGGUGUAGAGGUGAAAUUCGUAGAUACCUGGAGGAACACCGAUGGCGAAGGCAGCUAUCUGGACGAGCACUGACGCUGAGGCGCGAAAGCGUGGGGAUCAAAUAGG
rnacentral:rRNA from 1 species